UAGAUUUUGAUGUCUGCCUAUGCAUAUUGUCCAAUUUGUUCACCUUCGUUGUCUGGAAUGGAUCUUUGGAUUAUCCAAUUUUUAUGGAGAUUGUUAUAUGUAACCAUACAAUUAGCAUUGCUAUUUAUAAGAAAACUUCUAAAUUUUACAAUACUAUCAAAACUAAUGCCCUUUUACAUGCAUCCUCUUCUUGCUUAUGAUACACUACUGUGGUAACAGCAAGCCAAAAGCUAUCUUUCCUCAUUUCUUAUUUUCAAUGUCUUAGU
rnacentral:misc_RNA from 1 species